AUCCAUCUGACGUGUCCCAAACAGGACGAAACGCGCAUCCUAGAU
rnacentral:hammerhead_ribozyme from 1 species